rnacentral:rRNA from 1 species
UGGGGAAUAUUGGGCAAUGGGCGAAAGCCUGACCCAGCAACGCCGCGUGAAGGAAGAAGGUCUUCGGAUUGUAAACUUCUUUUAUGAGGGACGAAGGACGUGACGGUACCUCAUGAAUAAGCCACGGCUAACUACGUGCCAGCAGCCGCGGUAAUACGUAGGGGGCAAGCGUUGUCCGGAAUGAUUGGGCGUAAAGGGCGCGUAGGCGGCCAACUAAGUCUGGAGUGAAAGUCCUGCUUUUAAGGUGGGAAUUGCUUUGGAAACUGGAUGGCUUGAGUGCAGGAGAGGUAAGCGGAAUUCCCGGUGUAGCGGUGAAAUGCGUAGAGAUCGGGAGGAACACCAGUGGCGAAGGCGGCUUACUGGACUGUAACUGACGCUGAGGCGCGAAAGUGUGGGGAGCAAAC